rnacentral:rRNA from 1 species
AUUGAACGCUGGCGGCAGGCCUAACACAUGCAAGUCGAACGAGUGGCGGACGGGUGAGUAAUGUCUGGGAAACUGCCUGAUGGAGGGGGAUAACUACUGGAAACGGUAGCUAAUACCGCAUACCAUCGGAUUUGCCCAGAUGGGAUUAGCUAGUAGGUGGGGUAACGGCUCACCUAGGCGAUGAUCCCUAGCUGGUCUGAGAGGAUGACCAGCACCACGGGAACUGAGCCACGGUCCAGACUCCUAGGGGGGGCAGCAGUGGGGAUUAUUGCACAAGGGGCGCAGGCCUGAUGCAGCCAUGCCGCGUGUAUGAAGAAGGCCUUCGGGUUGUAAAGUACUUUCAGCGGGGAGGCGUUACCCGCAGAAGAAGCACCGGCUAACUCCGUGCCAGCAGCCGCGGUAAUAC